rnacentral:ncRNA from 1 species
ACGGCCUGCCUCGUGAUCGUCUUCUCACCCUUCACGCGGGCAGGCGCGUAAAGGGCGGAGCCCCCUGCGAGGACGUGACUCGCCAGGGGGCUCCGC